GUUGGUGUAACUCAGUGGUAGAGUGCAUGCUUUGUAUGUAUGGUGUCCUGGGUUCAAUUCAAUCCCCAGCUUUUCCC